rnacentral:rRNA from 1 species
GACGAACGCUGGCGGCGUGCUUAACACAUGCAAGUCGAACGGAAAGGCCCUGCUCUUGUGUGGUUCUCGUGUGGCGAACGGGUGAGUAACACGUGAGUAACCUGCCCUUGACUGUGUGAUAACUUCAGGAAACUGGGGCUAAUACCGGAUAGGAUCUCCUGCUGCGCAGUGGGGGUUGGAAAGUUUCGGCGGUUGGGGAUGGACUCGCGGCUUAUCAGCUGGUUUGUGGGGUAGGUGCUUACCAAGGCUUUGACGGGUAGCCCGCCUGAGAGGGUGACCGGCCACAUUGGGACUGAGAUACGGACCAGACUCCUACGGGAGGCAGUAGUGGGGAAUAUUGCACAAUGGGCGGAAGCGUGAUGCAGAAACGCCGCGUGCGGGAUGACGGCCUUCGGGUUGUAAACAGCUUUCGCCUGUGACGAAGAGUGAGUGACGGUAAUGGGUAAAGAAGCAACGGCUAACUACGUG